rnacentral:rRNA from 1 species
AUUGAACGCUGGCGGUAUGCCUAACACAUGCAAGUCGAACGGCAGCACAGUAAUCGCUUUCUCUUCCGGGUGGCGAGUGGCGGGCGGGUGAGGAAUACGUCGCAAUCUACGUUUUCUUGGGCGGUGACGGAGGGAAACUUACGCUAAUACCGCAUACGACCUACGGGUGAAAGCAGGAGAUCUUCGGACCUUGCGCGAUUCAAUGAGCCGAUGUCGGAUUAGCUAGUUGGCGGGGUAAAGGCCCACCAAGGCGACGAUCCGUAGCUGGUCUGAGAGGAUGACCAGCCACACUGGAACUGAGACACGGUCCAGACUCCUACGGGAGGCAGCAGUGGGGAAUAUUGGACAAUGGGGGCAAGCCUGAUCCAGCCAUGCCGCGUGGGUGAAGAAGGCCUUCGGGUUGUAAAGCGCUUUUGUUGGGAAAGAAAAGCAGUAGGCUAAUACCCCGCGGUUAUGACGGUACCGAAAGAAUAAGCACCGGCUAACUUCGUG